GACGAACGCUGGCGGCGUGCUUAACACAUGCAAGUCGAACGGAAAGGCCCUGCUUUUGUGGGGUGCUCGAGUGGCGAACGGGUGAGUAACACGUGAGUAACCUGCCCUUGACUUUGGGAUAACUUCAGGAAACUGGGGCUAAUACCGGAUAGGAGCUCCUGCUGCAUGGUGGGGGUUGGAAAGUUUCGGCGGUUGGGGAUGGACUCGCGGCUUAUCAGCUUGUUGGUGGGGUAGUGGCUUACCAAGGCUUUGACGGGUAGCCGGCCUGAGAGGGUGACCGGCCACAUUGGGACUGAGAGACGGCCCAGACGCCUACGGGAGGCAGCAGUGGGGAAUAUUGCACAAUGGGCGGAAGCCUGAUGCAGCAACGCCGCGUGCGGGAUGACGGCCUUCGGGUUGUAAACCGCUUUCGCCUGUGACGAAGCGUGAGUGACGGUAAUGGGGAAAGAAGCACCGGCUAACUACGU
rnacentral:rRNA from 1 species